rnacentral:miRNA from 1 species
AAUCCAGUUUCCCUGGCCCUGCCCCCAGAGAUUCUGACUCAGUAGGUAAAGGUGGAGCCCAGGAAUCUGCAUUUUCAGGAAGCACAGAGGUGGCUCUCAUACCUGUGG